UACAGAGGGUGCAAGCGUUACUCGGAAUUACUGGGCGUAAAGCGUGCGCAGGCGGUUUUGUAAGUCUGUCGUGAAAGCCCCGGGCUUAACCUGGGAAUUGCGAUGGAGACUGCAAGGCUUGAAUCUGGCAGAGGGGGGUAGAAUUCCACGUGUAGCAGUGAAAUGCGUAGAGAUGUGGAGGAACACCGAUGGCGAAGGCAGCCCCCUGGGUCAAGAUUGACGCUCAUGCACGAAAGCGUGGGGAGCAAACAGG
rnacentral:rRNA from 1 species